UACGGAGGGGGCGAGCGUUAUUCGGAAUUAUUGGGCGUAAAGGGCGCGUAGGCGGCUUUACAAGUCAAAGGUGAAAUCCCUCGGCUCAACUGAGGAACUGCCUUUGAAACUGUAAAGCUUGAGGCCGGGAGGGGGUAGCGGAAUUCCCAGUGUAGCGGUGAAAUGCGUAGAUAUUGGGAGGAACACCAGUGGCGAAGGCGGCUACCUGGACCGGUUCUGACGCUGAUGCGCGAAAGCGUGGGUAGCAAACAGG
rnacentral:rRNA from 1 species